rnacentral:ncRNA from 2 species
UUAAAUCUUCAGGGCGAGGUGUAAUUCCUCACCGGCGGUAAAGUCCGCGAGCAUUUGCAUGAAUCGGUGAAAUUCCGAUACCGACGGUUAUAGUCCGGAUGAAAGAAGUAAUAU